rnacentral:rRNA from 1 species
UACGUAGGGGGCUAGCGUUGUCCGGAAUCAUUGGGCGUAAAGAGCGUGUGGGCGGUCCGGUAAGUCCGCUGUGAAAGUCGGGGGCUCAACCCUCGAAUGCCGGUGGAUACUGUCGGGCUAGAGUACGGAAGAGGCGAGUGGAAUUCCUGGUGUAGCGGUGAAAUGCGCAGAUAUCAGGAGGAACACCUAUUGCGAAGGCAGCUCGCUGGGACGUAACUGACGCUGAGACGCGAAAGCGUGGGGAGCAAACAGG